UUUAUGGUAAAAGCUUUAUUAACAAAAACUGUAUUUAAAUAAACUCUAUUUGAAAAGGCAUACCAAACGAAUCCUUAAACUUUAAAGAUUAUUUUGCGUAUUCCUGACACUACAUAGAUACAUGUAUCAAUUUCUUAAAUUGCACUUAUUUCUUUUAUCAAUAUUUAUACAUUAGAUUUGAUAUGAUCCAUUACUUAAUUAUUAAUGUAGUGCAUACUUUACCUCUAUAUCACUUGCACGAAGUAUAAUUAAUUCAAAAUAAUAAUUCUGUAACUACCUCUAGAAAGUUAUAACCUCAUCAUAGUAAUUAAAUUAGUUUAAUCUAAUAUUAUGACUAUAAAGAGGUUUUACUAUGGACAAUUAAAAAAAUAACAUGCAAUAACAAUUAACAUUUUCAUAAUUUGAUGCUUUAUUUCAUUUACAAUCAUUCUUGCUCAUUUUCUUUCAAUUAUAUCAAAUUACUUAAAGAUUUUAUGUUCUCAAUCAAUAAAAUUAAAAAGGUUUUCAAAAACAAUUUUUGUACGGUACAAUUUUAAUAAU
rnacentral:lncRNA from 1 species